GCCGGUCUGUCAUGCUGCCGGCCCGUGAUGGAGGACCGAAGGGCACAGCCCAACAGACCCUGCCACCGCCCAACGCAAUCGUCCCCACACACCCCCACGACCCUUUCCCCUUCCCAGCUGCAGGGGCCGACCGGCCAGGCCCCACCCUCACUUCCAAGCGCUCCCCCGCCCAACACCAAGCAGCCUUGAUGUAUGAAUAUGCGAAUAUGAAUAUAUAUUAUAUAUAUAUAUAUGAUCAUAUAUGAAUAUGAAUUUCCAACACUGGAAAGAGUCAUACAUCUUAAUUUUCGUUAUUUAAAUGAAUGUGAAACAGUGGGUCAUUGUGAUAUGUGAUUUGAGUAUUAAGGAGGUUGAACAUAUCACUGUAUAUGUAUGUUACCUUACAUGGUUGUUAUUCAUGACCUUUUCCCAUUUUUGUAUUGGAAUAUUCUCUUAUGCUGUGUCCAUUCAGCAUGUCCACUACUAAUUACAUUCCCCCAAAGAACCAAUGUGAAACAUUUAUAGCACACUUUGUAAAAGAAAACCGUGAAAGAAAUCUAGGUGCCCACUAGUAGGAGUGUAGAUAAAUAAAGUAUGACAUAAGUUACACAAUGGAAUAUUCUAUACUAGUGACAAUAAAUGAAUUUAUAGCCUUAUGAACAACAUGGUUAAACUUUUUUUUGAGACUUUGCUUUUUAUUUUGAAUUCAUAAAAUUAGAAUACAAAAUUCCAUGGUAAAAAUAUACGCCAACCAAGCAGAAAGAUUCAAUUUUAGCCUUGAUAGCAGUUAGAAUCAUAGCCUUCUAGAGGUUAAUCUAAGCAAAUAGACUUACACACUUUAGAAGUACAUUCUACAUGUUAUUUAAAAUUUUGAUAAUCUAAACAUUCUAUAUCAAAAAUUUCAUAAAUGUUUUAUAAUAUAAGCAUUUAUAAAAGGUGCAUAGGAUUCUACUAUAUGUCUAUAUACUGAUAGACCAUCUUAUUUGUUAAAAGUUGUGAUUGAAGUAAUAUUUCAUUUUCUGCCUUUUAUUGGAUUCUUCCCCUUAGCAAGCAAAUAUGUUCUCUCUUUUUUUUUUUGGUAUUUUUAUUUAAUUUAUUUUUUAAAUUAACAUCCAAGUUAGCAUAUAGUGCAACAAUGAUUUCAGGAGUAGAUUCCUUAAUGCCCCUUACCCAUUUAACCCAUCCACCCACCCCACAACCCCUCCAGUAACUCUCUGUUUGUUCUCCAUAUUUAAGAGUCUCUUAUGUUUUGUCCCCCUCCCUGUUUUUAUAUUAUUUUUGCUUCCUUUCCCUUAUGUUCAGAUGUUUUGUAUCUUAAAAUCCUCAUAUGAGUGAAGUCAUAUGAUGUUUGUCUUUCUCUGACUAAUUUCACUUAGCAUUAAACCCUCUAGUUCCAUCCCUGUAGUUGCAAAUGGCAAGAUUUAAUUCUUUUUGAUUGCUGAGUAAUACUCCAUUGUAUAUAUAUACCACAUCUUCUUUAUCCAUUCAUCCAUCGAUUGACAUUUGGGCUCUUUCCAUACUUUGGUUAUUGUUGAUAGUGCUGCUAUAAACAUUGAGGUACGUGUGCCCCUUCGAAACAGCACACCUGUGUCCCUUGGAUAAGCACCUGGUAGUGCAAUUGCUGGGUUGUAGGGUAGUUCUAGUUUUAAUUUUUGAGGAACCUCCAGAUUGUUUUCCAGAGUGACUGCACUAGUUUGCAUUCCCACCAAUAGUGCAAAAGAGAUCUUCGUUCUCCGCAUCCUCGUCAACAUCUGUUGUUGCCUGAGUUGUUCACGUUAGCCAUUCUGAGAGGUGUGAGGUGAUAUCUCAUUGUGGUUUUGAUUUGUAUUUCCCUGAUGAUGAGUGAUGUGGAGCAUUUUUUCAUGUGUCUGUUAGCCAUCUGGAUGUCCUCUUUGGAGAAGUGUCUAUUCAUGUCUUUUGCCCAUUUCUUCACUAGAUUAUUUGUUUUUUUGGGUUUUGAGUUUGACAAGUUCUUUAUAGAUUUUGGAUACUAACCCUUUAUCUGAUAUGUCAUUUGCAAAUAUCCUCUCCCACUCUGUCGGUUGCCUUUUAAUUUUGCUGAUUGUUUCCUUUGCUGUGCAGAAGCUUUUUGUUUUGAUGAGGUUCCAAAGGUUCAUUUUUGCUUUUUUUCCCUCAUGGUUAAGCUUUAAUAACAUUGAGUACAGAAAGCAAGUACUAGAAGGCACUAUGAUACCAUUUUUAUAGAUUUCAAAAUAAGUAAAACAAUAUAUUUUUAUGCAUGUGUGUGUGUGUGUGUGUGUAUAUAUAUAUAUAUACAUAUAUAUGCAAUGUGUGAGGAUGUGUGAAAAAGCAAUAUGCAUACACAACCAUUUAGGAAGAUGUACACAUAUGUAUGUAUGAAUACGUUAUACAUGCAAACAUUUUGUAGGGCAACAUCACAUACGAAAUUCACAGCAGUGGUUAUCUGUAAUAGAAACACGAGAAGAUGAAAUAGAGAACAUAGGUAAAGCGCGUUAAUGGGAAUGUUUUCAUUUUUGGUUUUAGUGGUAGAUUUAUGAAUAUUAUUUUAUUACAUAAUUAACAAAUAGGAAAAGUGCAAUAAAAUUAAGUCAUGUCUGGAAAAUGAUGGUAGCACUUUAUGAAAACAAAGGGCUCUGAUUAACCUAAUUCUAUACAUCAUUUUUUUAAAAAGUUAAAGACAUGGGCACACACACCAGAAAACAAGUACACAGAAGAAUAAAGACAUAGCACAAGACAUAAACAAAAGGUAGCAAUUUACCUAGUGUUUUAUAAUUGUUACCUAAACCCAAAGAAGUUUAACUGAAUAACAUCUAUGACACUGGAAUUUCUGAGGUAUUUAAUUCACUUCCAGUUUUUUUUUCUAUAAUUGUUUUACAUUGUGCCAUAGAAAUCAUCACAUUCGUAUUGAGAGGGGAAAGAUGCAUUGUUAGGGAGGGUGACCUGAUUAAUAAGACAUGUCUAUUUAAACUAUUUGAUGACAGUAGACAGAUUCAUAUGGGUGUAAAGGCUAGGUCAGCUGUGCAAUAUCAUAUUUUAAUAGAAAAAUAAUGUGAAUAAUAAUAGCUGAACUAUCAAAUAAUUGCAAAUUAUUUACUUCAUAUACAAUAAUUCUACUCUUACUUGCAUUUUAAAAUGUGUUUGUGAAUGAGAAACAAGUAGAUGACAUUCCAGAGAAGGGGAAGACAGGCUGCAUAAUACACAGCCUGGUUUAUCUUCAUUUCCCAGAAGGCCAUUUGGUCCAUGUAAGCAUGGGCCACGGGAAGCAUUUGGAAUGAGAUUUGGGAGGUCAGGUGAAGAAGAUACGUUGCUUUAUCUUCAAGAAGUCUGUGAAUGACAUCCUAGUAUUGCUUCUUUCUGGCUUUUCUGGUUAGGAAACACAACAUCUGGGUUCAAAGCUCCUAUGGCUCCUGCCAAAUUUCCUGCUUUGGAGUCAGGUAUGUGGUUAGCUUUGUGAUAAAGGGCAGCCAGCAUCUUGUAUAGCACACCCCCAUCAUCACAAUUGGAGGUGAAGCCAGUCUAAUAAAGGUUUCGGACCAUCCUUGUGGGUUGAGCUCAGUCUUUCAAGUUCCAUCUUGAGCUUGCUUUCCCAACUUGAUGUUCAUCUGCCCUUCUCUGAUGCUUGACCUCUGGUCUUCAGACUUUAGCAUCAGACACAGCUUCACAUAGACUGUGAAACAAGCUCCUUCAACUGCAUGACAUCAAAUCCCUAUAAUAAGCCAUUGUUAUAUGCACUGCCUAGACCUUCUGUUUCUUUGACCACGCCUGAGUAUAACCCAACCCAGAAGAUAAUUACGAAGGCAUGCUUUUCCACAUGAGUUCACCCAUCUCAGGUUUUGAUUGGAGGCAACCCGGCAUAGCAGUCUUUGCAGUAAAUUUGAUCAAGGAUCAAAUUCCAAGUCCCCUGCUUGUGGUUGGGCUUGUACCUUCAUUUCUCUGAGCAUCAGUAUCUCCCUGUAUAAAAUUCUGGUAAUAAUUCCUGCAUUCAAAGGUUGAUUAAAUAACCCAUUUAAGUCCUAUAUUUCAAGCCCCAAACCCAGUAGCUGGCUGUUGGUAAAGGUUACUGUCCUUUGUUCCCAAUCCCAGGCUUUGCAGUCCUUAGAAAACUGUUGGAUGCCUGAACUCAUGCAGUUCAUGGGAUCUUUUACAUAAUUAACUGACUGUUUCAUUUCUUUGCAUGAGCUCUUCUUUACAUAUUUUACAAAACUACAGGGAAGAUAUUUAGUGGAUUUUCUAAACAUAUUGGAAUAUAUUUCAGACCUAGGUCUCCACGGAUUUGAAACUUGCUUCCCAUGAUGAUUUCUGAAUUAUGGGAGAAGUUAAAGAAGAGUUGCUUUUUAAAAAAAAAAUUUUAACGUUUAUUCAUUUUUGAGAGACAGAAAGAGAUAGAGAACAAGCAGGGGUGUGGUAGAGAGAGAGGGAGACACAGAAUCCGAAGCAGUCUCCAGACUCUGAGCUGUCAGCACAGAGCCUGACAAGGGGCUUGAACUCACGAGCUGUGAGAUCAUGACCUGAGCCCAAGAUGGGCACUUAACAGACUGAGCCAGCCAGGUGCCCCAAGAAGCAAUGUUUUUAUUCACAGAAGUAUGAAUAAGCUCAAUUCUAAGAAUACAUAAGGCACAAAAUAACGAAAAACUGGCAAACCUGGAAAAACUCAAAUGCAUUCCAGGGAAGUGACCUAAAUGUGUGUGUUUGUGUUUUGUUAUCUUACUGAAAAUCUUUUUGGGAUGCAUGAUAUCUAUAUCCAAAAAUUCUUUCUGCUUCAAUAUUGAAGCUGCCAUUUGGUAAGUUAGGUGCCAAAAGAGACAAAGAAGCUGUUUUCCAACCAUUAGAACGUUCUGCUAUGCCCUCUUAAAACGAUACAUCUUGCCACUCAGCCUUGAAGCCACCUCCCAUAUACUGUAUUAGAACAGUACAAUACUGUAAGAGGCACAAGUAAUAUGGAAAAUCCCCACCCCUCGCCCUGUGUUGUUUUCCCUAGGUAACAUAAGAGAAGUUUUCACAGAAUUGUGUGGGUUUUAUGAAGAUGAGUCAGUCUUAGAAAGAGCUCGACAUCAAGGAAUAUUUGAACCUGUGGUUUUUGCACUGAUUGUGACUGAACCUCAUGUACAAAUAAGAUGUUUGGUUAUGAUUUGGUAUGUAUUGAGAGUUAGCCUCAAUAAAUCGUACUGAGCUCUGCCUCCCUCUCCAGGCCUCCUCCAUUCAGAGAGGGCUUCUUGAGGGCGCUUUGCAGAUUCCCUGAGGGCUCUCAGACAUUCCUCCCCCUGACCCCAGAGCUCUGGGACAUUCCAUUUGAAAAUCCCCCUUUAAAGACGAAGACAGUGUGCAAGUUGCUGAACUGAAGACAUGAGAGACCUGACUUUUUGUUUUUAUUCUACCUACUCCUUACUGAACAAGCCUAGCCAAGCCACUUCAGUAUCUGGCAUUCUUUUCCUGGGGUUAAUACCAUUUGCCCUCUCAGGGUUAUCUUGUUGAUCAAGUUAGGAAAUGCAUGAGGAAACACUUCUAAAUCUUAAAAUGGAAAGUAAGUUCUUUGCACUGACUUUUCCUCAAGUCCUCAAAUGAUAAGCCUUCUCCAAAACGAUUUUUUCCCCACCCUUACUUUACUUCUUUCCCUACAUCAUGUCCCCUUCUCUGGUGAUUUCAAUUGCACUUACAGCCUAAAGUGUCAACUCGAGGCAUAUGAUUCUCAGGCUUAGGUCUGUACCUCUAAAUCCUUUUCAAAUUGCACUUGAGAACUUCCAGAUGUUUUAUAGACAAUAUGUAUUGCCGACCUCUCAAAUUCACCAGGUUUAAAACACCUUUGCCACGUCCUCAGUUUCUCCCAACUCCUCUUCAUAAUUUCCCCUUUCUUCAGUGUAUAUUGCUGCAACCAUAGAGACUAAAAUAUCCUAAAAAUAUUUUGGCCACUCUUUCUCCCUAGCCCCAAGUCCCCACAUGUAGCUUCAGAUUUGGUUAAUUCUCCUCGCACAUGGUCCUCCCUUUUCAUCCAUAUCACUGGGUCCAUCCAUGCUUCUUCAUUCGGGUGUUCGUUAUGUCAUGCCUGAAUCACAGCAACUGUUCCCUGAUUGAUCUCCCGAUCUGGCAAAAUACCCACAAUUCAACAAAUCAUACACACCCAUUCCAAGUAACUUUUAAUAAAAUGAAGCAUGGAUCAUAUUGCUCCCUUGCUUCAAGACAUUUAAUAGCUUCCUAUUGCCUAAAGAAUACAGUAUCAAAUUUCUUGGUGUUGGUGGGUGUUGUGUCUUAGAGGCACCUAUGUAUGUAUGCUAAAGGAAAUAAGUAGUAAUUGUUACAUACCGCUUACCACUUUCUCUGUUAGAUCUGACUACUUCUGCAUUCUCAAACCAUGGAGGACAGUAAAGUCUGUCCACAGGUAUUCCUAGUUAAUCUUAUGAAGUUUAAAUUCACCCAUUUCCCCUCAAAUAUCUGAUGUCCUCUUUGCCUGUGUUAUUAUUUCUCAAAAACAUUUUCCGCUCAACUGUCUAUGUGGUUUGUCCCUGUUCCUCCUUAUACCUGAAGUGUUCAUAUUUGCAGAUUUCAUGGGCAGAUGUUCACCCUGUGUUUGGACUGGAAUAUGCCCCCCAAAUCCAAACCUGGAGCUGAAGCAUACACUUGCAUAUGGAGCAACUAACACAGCACAAGAUCUCAUUUUUGUUUGGAAAGGAACUGAACAUACAUAAAGAUUACAUCAUCCAGUGUGUUUAAAUGCAUAUAAAAUAGCCUAAUUAUAAUUAUUGGCCGAUGUAUUUUAGAAUUUACAUGACAAAGAGAGUUCACUUGUAAAUUCCUUACCAGAAAAACAUUCUGUGUUAGUAUAUAAAAAUAAUUCUUUAAAGAUGUUAAAGCAAUGCACUGGCAUGUUAUAACAGCAUCAGCAUAGGCAUGUAUAGAAGAUGAUACAAGAGCUAUGUAGGAGAUAAAAAGACCAAAUAUUGCCCUGAAUGAGGACCUAGUUAACAUAUGCCUGCAUAAUGGCAAUAAACAUAUCUUUGCAGUUUCUUUCAUGUUUUAGUGAAGGCCAAAUUUCAAGAAACAAAAAUGUCAUGGAAAAUGGUAGAUGAUGACUUCUCCCCUUUGUAGAUAGAGAGCCAAGCCAUCCAUUUAACCAUCCUUUCCCCAUUUAGCCCACCGAAAUACCCUUCAUGGUACUUCCAAAUGCUUUGUGUCCUUACACUUUAAAAGAAGCUAUUUCCAGAGACCGUUAAGGCACAGUGCUCCAAGCUGUUGUAGUUGCUACCACUCAUUAGCUUAGACAAUAUUAGGAAAGGGAAAUGUGCCCUGCAUCUCCUCCUCUGUGCCAAGGACAAUGUAAAGCUAGAACUUUGGAUAAAGGGCAAAGUUUGUUUGUUGUUUAUCCAUCUCAGGAGGAAACUGACAGCACACUCUAAAAGGUUUAUGCAAACAUAUCAGCGAAGGGAACAUAUACGGAGAUCUAAGUAUGGUUAGUGAGCUCGUGACACAUAAUGACUAUCCCAGUACCUGACACAAAUAGGAAGCCAUUACCAGCCCUAGAUCUAAAGCAAUAAGAGGCGGAAACAGUUACCAAAUGCUGUAAGAGGUGGAAAUGGGGGAGCUGGGUGGGGCUGCAUGACUAGAGCUCUGGGUCUAGAAGACAUUCUGAUUCCCCACUCACAAUUACCACUGGCCAAACAAAAAGGGUAGCAGAGGGCAAAGGAACCAGGGAGAUUUAGUCCAUAGGGGUCACUCUUCAGAGCAAGGCAGAGAGCAGUGAAUAAUGGAUAGAGAAGAGGCUCAAGGAGGAAAUAGAGAAAAAAAAAACUAGCACCCUCUUCUUCUGUAAGGAGCUUGGCAACUGCAUUAAACAAUAGAAAAUAUUACGAAGGAGCAUAUCUGUCCUAAUAACUAAUUGUAAGUCUUAUUGGUACUAAUAAAUGUAAUUGAUGCAGUGCACUGACUCACAGCAAGGCCAGUAGACUUGGCGGCUUUAAUGAUUUCUGAGGAUACAAUGAUACAUACAGAGUAUCUGUUCAGCACUUGAGUGGAUAAAUAAUUUUUAGAAAGCCAAUAUGUGGAGUGAUGGAAUAGAAACAAAACCCCAGGCAUGUCUACGUACUUAACCACACAGCUACAGUCAGCUGUUCAGACAUGUGAAUCAUGAAACAUUGAAAUUUGGAACAAGAUGGAAAUCCCUGGGGAAGUUUUCCCCUCUGCUGCAUUAUGGAUGGGAAAUAGUUAAUUAUUUUCCUAUUUCUGAAGAUAACUAACUACACUCAUUCUGUCACCCUGAGUAUAACUGUCACUAUGAAUACUAGAAGUAAAAUUGACAAGAUCUUAAAAUCAUGAACCAAAUGAUUUAGUUUAAAUGAUUUAGUUUAAAUGAUUGUUUAAAGCCACCUUUAAAUUAUAUUUACUUAUUCUAACAUAAUAACUUAUUGUUUAGUCUUCAUUAGCCUAUGUAAUCUAGAUGAAAAAAUGAGAAUACGCAGAAGUUAAAAGCUGUGCCCAGAGUCACACAGUUAGUAAGUAAUAGAACCAGAAUUCAAAUUGGUUGAUAACCACCAGAAUCACCUAUGGAUUUCUUUAACACAGAGAACCCCUGAAUCGCACCCUGUAUGUACUGAAGGAUCAUCAGGAUGGGGUUAGGAGUGAGCAGUGGUGACAUAACAAUUGAUAUCUCUACUUUUAAAGGCUCCACAGCAAGACUGAUGUAGUGGCAGGGUCAUAAUUGCUACAGAUACAAACUGGCCAAACUUUGAAACAGCAGAUUCUAAGGAGCCACCAUUCAGUUCUUGAUUGAUUCUCUGUCUCCAAGUGUGUCAUCAGUUACAACCAGGAAUCUUAUCAGGUCAAAAUUUUCACGGAAGCUAUAUUUGGAGUCAUGUUGUUUGCCCUAUUAUUGUCAGGUAGUGAAAUGCACUUUAACAAAACGCUUUCUCUAAGACCUGAUGUGAAAGUUCAAAAGUCUUCCUAUUUCAUCUUUCUGUGCAUUACAGUUUGCAUGGAAAAUAGGAACAUGGUGAAAAGAAAAACACUUAACUUCAAGUUCUGGAAAUGACAACUGGGCACCAUUCAUCUAACUUCUACUUCUAACCCUGGGGUUAUCGCAGUAACACAGCUGCAAGUGAAGACAAACAUAAACUCAGAAAUAAAUAUUUGAAGAGGGAGACAAGAUCCAGCCAUCAUGGGUUCCCAUUCCCUACUCCACUAAAACAUACAAACAAACAAAAAAUCAUUAGCUUCAAAUGAAGACUUCUCCAAAGGAAGGAGGACACAACCAAAAUAAUAAGAGGAAAGUAUAAUGCACUGUAGACCUGACAAAUUGGGAAAUUCCUAAGAUUGAUAUAAGGCCAAUGACAGAGAAGCUGCCUUAUUACUCAGUUUAAUAAAGUGCCAUGGAAGAGUGGAAGGACUCUGGAGAGUCCCCGAAAAGUGGAAAGACUUCCACACCUGGAUUUUUGGACUCAGACUGACCCUGAACUAAUAUUCUUUGUCUGUCCUUUAUCUCUUUCUAACAACUUGCUGGAGUACUUUGAUGGUGGUAUAAUCUUGUUUAAGGGAAGGAGUUUUUAAAAACAACAACUCAUCUUCCUUUGUACUCAUCUUUAAACUAGCCAACGUUUCCCACCAGAUUAUUGUUAACCUCUCUGUACAAUAGAAUAAGAUUUGAAAUCUGGUUGCUCUUAUGCAAAAUUAGUCGUCACUAAUACAAAGUGUACUUUUUAUUGAGUUUUAAGAGCCGGUAUGCCAUUCAUCCUCAAGUGAAAGAAAAAAAGAAAAUCAACAAUAAUCAAAUUUCUUCCUAAUGGUUGGAUGGAAGCCUUCUGGGAGAUGAGUUGCAUUAAUUCAGGAUUGUAUUAUGGUAAGAUAGAUAAAGCACUAUGCUGACUCAAAUGGGAUACUACCACAAGUAAAAGCUAUCACUUGAACAACAUAACUGCCCACACACCACAGAUGUAUCAGUGAGUACAGAAGGACUUCAUGAGGAGUAGAGUGCAUAAGGACAAGGCCAUUCAGGGUUUGUGACUCAGAAGGUUGUCCUGGUGCCUGGCUCUCUUUCCUAGGGUAAUCCUCCCAUUUCUCCAUUCCUUUCUAAACAGAAGCUGAAGGAGGAGUGGUCAGCCAAACCAGGUAAAGCUCGACCUUCUGAAGGCAGGCUGCCUCCUUCCAUGCUCUCCCCACUGAGGUUAGAGGACCAUUUUUCCUUCAGAUAUGGCCACCUCUGAUCAUCUGACUGAAAAAGUUCUUUGGCUCAGUCCAGCUGUACAAAUCACGGAGGUGAUUGAGAAAGUCAUUUAUCUAAGAGAAGUUGAGAAUAUUAUGGAUAAUAUGAAGGGUGAAAGACUAAAAAUUCAACACCAAGGAUGCCGUUUGCUGCAAAAUUUAUUGAGAUAGUUUUUUAAACAGGUUAAGAAAGUUUUCUUCUAUUUCAAGCAUGACUUGGUACAUGUAAAUGGAAGAAAACAGGUAAAACCAGCAUUUAAUAAUUUAAAACUUAAAAUCCUACCAAUGAAGACUUGGGCUGACUUAUCCAAAAGGAGAGUCAGAAAUAAUCUAGAUAACCAGCAAAACAACCAAAUUGCAAUUUAGCUUUAAUGUUGAAAACACAUUUAGCAUGUUGCUUCUCAGGUGUGAUUUCUGCAAUCUUGUUCAACAUCUCUUGUUAAGCACAAUGAAAUCUGUCCUUAGAUUUUUGCUAAAAGGUAUUUCUUCCUCCACUUGUCAUAUGCAACAAAUGCAGGUGGAGGGAGCCAAGUUCCAUCCUAGGCUAUUUCUGUAGGGGCUUCAGUUGGGUUUUGGGUUUGUGGUAUAACAAUUUGGAAAACCUUUCAAGAUAGUAUCUUUGUUGAAACCAUUGGCUUUAUGGGUGUAGCUCAGGACCCAUUGUUUCAACCUGACCUUUGUCAGAAUGACACAGAAAGUCCCAUGAUGCAGGAAGGGUCUACUUACUCAUUGGUUUGGUUAGGAUGUAUUUAGUUGGGUCCGUGGAAGCAAGGAAAAAGUGAGUAAACCUAUUUUGAUGAGGUAGUAGAAUAAAGUAAAAAUGGAUCAUAUUUCCAAAUUCCAAUUAUUUCUUUAUGCCAAAACUAAAACCUUGUAAUAAUUAUUACUUUUGUAUGGAAUUUGAGAUUCUCUAUGUUAACAAUUGUGAUAAAUUAACUAUGACAUGACUGAUAUAGGAAGUUUUUAACAUUUCUUAUUAGGGAUGGUGGGUUGAUUUUCUCCUUUAUUUCUAAGAGCACAUUAAUAAAGGAGAGUCUUACCAGAAACUAAUCAGUUUAUUAGAAUGAUUCUAAUUGAGACAGAGACAGCCUGAAACUAAGAUUUACACCACAUUCCCAACUACACAGUAAUUGAUAAAGGGGUCAGUGUGACAUACUUUGAAUCCUUCACCACAGAAUUCUAGCUGACUCCACAGCACCUUCUAGAAACAUCUCUUAUUUACACAAAACUUAGUUACCCCACUUUUAUUUUCCCUCCCAUGUCUGCCCCAAAUUUAGAGACCUAUUUUACCCAUCUUCCAAGUAGCCUGUCAUAAACAAUACAUUUUGCUUCAGAACCCAGUGCAUACAUAUACAUGUGUGUAAAUAUACACACACAAAAGACAUCCAGGCCAUAUCCCACAUCUCCAGAGUCAGAGUCUUUGGGGAUGGGGCUCAGCCAUAUGUCUAUUUUAUUCCACAGGUGAGGAAGAUGUUUAAUCAGGUUGAAAAUCACUUAUGUAUAUAGUUUCCAAGGAAGAAACUGAGGAUCAGAGAGAUGAGAAGACUUGAAUAAGAUUCACUUGUAGGUGGUGGGGAGCCAAGCUUAAAAUUCAGAUCUCUUGUCUGCUUACAGUUGUUAUUUUAGUCCAGAAUUUGCCAAUUUGUAUUCUAUCAUAUAUGAGUUUUGUAGAAUUACAGAUGUCAUCCUUAAAAAAAAUGUUUUCACUGGUCAAAUAACAAACUCAAAUAGUUUUAUUACUGAACUUAAAAGGGCUUUAAAUAUCCUAAGAGGCACUAUUACCAUCCAACAGAGGUAUAUGGUAUAUAUAACUUUCUUUACUUGUUUGACCACAGAUCCAUUUUAUUUUCUCCCAAAGAGCUUGUCAUGGGUCAAUAUUCCAUGUAACAUAUGGCAAAAACUAUUGUAGACCAUCAAUAAUGAUAUUACCAACAACUAACAUUUUAUAGCUUUUAUGGUUUGAAUGGAACUUUCAUAUUAUGUUAUUUUGGUUAAUCACUUAAAAUACUACAUAUAAAUAUCUAGUUUUGUUUACUUCUAACACAAAGUUAUGAACUCGUGCCAAGUUUGUGUUUUUCUGUGGCAAUGCAGAUCUUAGAAGAAUCCAUCAGUGGAGCAAUCAUUCUAUGAUUGCACAGUAAUAAAGAAACAUCAAUGACUAAAUUUCAUACUCAAUCAAGGCAAAUGCCAUCACUGUUCAAGACCAUUGCUUAUUAAUUAAAAAUAAAAAUCUAAAUCUAUAAAAACAUACUUUUUUGAGAAAAAAUGGUCAGACAUGUGUGUGGAUAAACAAAACUAGGCAAUGCACAUGUCAGAGAUAUAUUGGGUGCCUACCAUCCGGAAGACACUGCCAUGUAUUAUGGGAAAUACAAACCUAGAAAAUAGACCACACAGUGCCUGGAACAUGGAUUCUCAAGGGAUAUGUAGUGGAUGAAUGUCUAUAGAAAACAAAAAUGCCUUUCAGUGAAUAUUCUUUCUAGAAGGAAAAGACAAGCAGUGGAUAGAAUAUAAAGAAAAAGUAAAUAAGUGCUGAGUAGAGUCAAAAAGCAUCACAGUAGAAGAGAAAAAGGGUAUUAGUAAGAGCUAAAGUGACUAAUAUUUAUGGAAUGUUUGUGAUUGUCCCAAGAGUACACUGUUCAGUAUCCUAACUACAAAUGACUAUUGAGCAUUUGAAAUGUAGUCUAUCUAAUUUGAAAAGUGCUUUAAAUGUAAAAUGCCUACCAGAUUUCAAAGAGUUAGUAUGAAAAAAAUAAUAUAAAAUAUUUCAUUAAUAAAUUUUAUAUUGAUUACAUGUUAAAUUGACAAUGUUUUAGGUACAUUGGAUUAAAGAAAAUAUUAUUAAAGGUAUUUUAACUGUUUCUUCAUACCCUUUAAGUUGAACUAAAAGAAACCUCAAAAUCAUUGAUGUGGCGUACAUUUGUGACUAGCUAUUUUUAUUGGACAGGGUUAUGAAUCUAAGAUGCUUUGCACAUGCUAUCUCAUUUAAUUUUCCAAACCAUCCUAAGAAGUCAGAACUGUAUUUGAUACAAAGUAUAUAUUAAAGAAACUGUCUAGAAUUAUCCCAGUGAGUAAACAGCACACUCUACAGCCGAUGCUGUGGGAAACUGAGGAAGGCUGCUUGAUGGAUGAUAAUGAUGGCUCAGUCACUAGGUAGUGUCAGCUAAGUAUCUUCCCUCAGCUAAAACUGCAUGAAUGUGAAAGUGUCAAUUCUAAUCUCAGUAGUUUUUGCAAAUUGGGUGGUGAGGAUUUCUAAGGGAAAGAGUAAAGGAAUGUUAUUGGGUGUUAUUUGAGAAACUAAGCUUGUAUCUUCCUUGUAUCUUCUCAGGUGUAUCUAUUGCCAUUUCCAUCAGCGUGCCUUUGGAAGGCUACAUAACCAACAGUUCCCAUUUCACCACAAUUUCUUCUAGUAAGACAGCAUGACUGACUGUGUCUCAAUGUUCUGUUUCGUAAUGGGUAAGGACAGACAGGGUGCUUCUUGGGCUUUCACCUUUUGGAAGCCACCAAACUGAAGCAAAUUUGGAUUUCCCACAAAGAGAAAGUCUUAUUAUAAGUUCCAUCAUACAUUUGUCGCCAGGUGAUGUGCAAAUAUCAGUGCAAAAGGCCCAUGACAGCAACUCAUAGACCUUUGAUGUGAAGUCACUCACACUUAGGGCCUGCUGGCGUUGUCUAAUUAUGUGAUAAACAUACGUAGGAAAUGUCAAGAAGGUCUGAACUCCUAUAGUAUCUACCUCAAUGGAAUGCUUGUAAAUCAAAGACUAGAAAAAAGGCUUCAGCGUGGGCAGUGCAAAAACUUGGCCUAUUUCCAUUCCGUGUGCAUGAAAAGAGGGAAAUAAUAUUUUUUUCUGGAUUAAUACAAUAUCAGUUAUAUGUGAAAUGUUUCCAGUACUGUUUUGUUGCUGGAAGUCAGCACCAGGCUGAUUUAUCUGAGCAGCAGAGUCUGAGCUAUACCUCAAAGGUCUGGGCUGUCUUCUGAAAACAAUGGGGAAAAGAUUUUCUGCAGCACUUUCCAAAGCCUCUGAGGAUGGGGCAAGCCCCCCAUUCAUCUUAGGCAAAAAGAGAAAUAGGGAAUGAAAAUUUCUCCUGGUAAUGGCUUCAGUGGAUAAGGAGAACAUAUUUAAUAUAACUCUAAAAUUUUAUGUGACUAGGCAGUGUUAGAAUUGAUCUGUACAACUGUGAUCUAUAGAUCUCACAUGUUCUACAUUUCAGAGUCUAAAAUGACUUCCAAGUGACCCCUAGGAAGGUCCACAUGAAAGUGGAUAAUUUACAAAAAAUGAUCCGCUUAAAAGAAACCCUUACAUAUAGUUCUUAAUUCCUAAUCUUCAAAAUCAAAAAUUAAAAGAAGGCUACUUGUUGUGCUUUAUAUUUUUUAUAUAGAUUCACCUUAGGUUUCUUCUGAAUGGUAAGCUUUCUCAGAAACUUGAUUUAGGGGCACCUGCGUGGCUCAGUUGGUUGAAUGUCCAACUUCACCUCAGGUCAUGACCUCAGGCUUGUGAAUUCGAGCCCUGAGCUCUGUGCUAACAGCUCAGAGCCUGGAACCUGCUUAGGCUUCUGUGUCUCCCUCUCUCUUUGCCCUUCCCUCGAUCAUACUCUGUCUCUCUCUCUCUUUCUCUCUCAAAAAUAAAUAAACAUUGAAAAAAAAUUUUUUAAUAAAAUAAAAUAAAAUUUGAUUUAAAUCUACAGGUAUUUGGAAAGUAAAUAAUAGCCAAAUUAAGGUGAACCUCAUAGGAAGGAAAAUUAUAGAGACCAUCUCCUCCACAUAUUUAUGAUCAGCAACAACAAGAAACUUAUUUGAGAACUUUCUUUCAUGAUAAUGAACUAAAGCAGUCUAGUCAACAUUGUGAUUUUUGACCCUGAAAUUUAACAUCUGGGAUUUUUUUCCUAGAGAUAUAUUGGGAAAGAGUGAAAUAGCAUAUGUUUAAAGAUAUUUACUGCAACACUGUAUAUAAUAGCAAAAGUUGGGAAAAUAUUCUAAGUGACUACCAAAAGGUACCUUGUAAAAAGAAAUCAUUAUAUAACUAUAAAAUAGGCUGUUAGGUAAGCAUGUUAAAAAAGAGAAAGCUUAAUACAUACAAAAUUGUAUUAUAUUCCUAAUAGGUAUUAAUUUUUUUUUUUAUACAGCAAAUAGCAGAACAAUGCUUAAAGUACACGACAUUUUGCAAUUAAUAUAUAUACUUGUGUAAGUGCAGCUCAUCCACGGGAGAUUCUUGACCUAACAAACAGGUCAGUUAGACACAGUGUCUGUGUGCCAGGUGAAUUGCACGGUGGCUGGAUGUGGGGGUGGGGUACUUACUUUCUCUCCAAAUCAUCUGUGCCGUUUGAACUUUAUAAAUUGCACUUGCAUUACCUAUUCAACAAUGUAAAUAGUGUUUUAAUUGGGGGGUGGGCUUACAGAGUUGUGCUUUAAGGAGAGAUGGUGGGAGAAAGAAACAAAGGAAACCUCUCUUAACAAAUGAACCAACAAAGUACUCUUUUGUAAGCAACGUAAGUUUCAGGAAAGGAAAGACCUUCUUACUUUGACCGGUGCAAUUACCGAUAAAGUGUGCCAAGCAUGGGAGUGCUUAAGAAACACUGCUUGGUGAUAAAUGUUCAGUUGAAGGUACAGGGGAAAAAAGAUACAUGUCCAGUUGAACAGAUUCUCUCUGUUGUCUAUAUUGCAUCACAUAUUCUGGGCAGAACCGUCUACAAGGAAAUCCCUCUAAUGGAGCAAACAUUAGUUUGGAACACAUGCAGGAAAUGGGUGUGAUAAAUCAGUAAGGCAAAGGGAACAUAAUGGAUGCUGGAAGCGGCUAGAGGAAGGCAGGAGGAUAUCAAAGUGUUCAAAGAAGAACCAGAAAAACAAGACUGUUUAGAUGACAUCAGUGAGAAGAAAAUAAAACUUGGGACACACGAGCAAAAGAAGCUCAAAGAUGAUUUGACAGCUCAUCAGUGCAAUGAAUAGAAUAGCAAACUAUCCAUAUUUAUUUGCUGGAAGAGCUGCUAGUAUGGCCCACAGGGGACAUUGUGGUAAAGAUCAAAUGCUUCCUUCCAUACAAACUUUGGCUUUUAAUCUCUUGGUUGAAAAGUAUUUACUGAGCACCUGCUUUGCAAGGUGCUGUGGAGGAUUCACAGAUACAGAGAUAAAGGUCUGCCAUCUGGGAGCAUACAGUCUACUCUCAAAUGGAAGACCUUCAGAUCAGAUGAAAACGUAAAUUCAACAUUAUGUUUUUUAAAUAUUAAGGGCUUCUCUCUAGAAUGCUUCUCUCAGGCUCUACACCUGCAAAGAUUUCUGCUAAACGGUGCUUGCAGUUCCUUCAAUGCACUCUUCUGAGACAUAACCAGUGAAGUAUCUGUGCUAAGAGUCUAUGUGUUCAUAAAGGUUCAGUCUACUUUUCUCCAUUGUUCAAACAGUUUGGUCUUUAUACCUAAGGUAUCUUAGAGUUUAGAGUCAAUAAUAUCUCAGAGGAUCUUGGAUCCUGAAAAAGUUAUGCUGAGAAAAAGUUGCUGUUUUAAGAUAUCCAAAACUGCUGAGUCAAAAUAACUUUCCUUAAACCUAAUCAAAAUUCUUCCUGCUGCAAUUCUGACGCAUUUUCUUUGGCCUCAACAUAAUUUAGCUUAUCCUCUCAAAAAAAAUAUUCUUAACACAAAUAAAAUCAAACUCUUCAUCUAAACAAAACAAAGAGUGUUGAUUCCCCAAACAUUUACCUAUUAUAUGUGGGACUUUAGUAGGGUUGCAAGAUUAAAUAGAGGAUAUCCAGCUAAAUUUGAAUUUCAGAGAAACAACAAUGAAGUGUUUUCAGUGUAAGUUUAUCCCAAAUACUGCAUUAAACAUA